CCUACGGGAGGCAGCAGUGGGGAAUAUUGCACAAUGUGGGAAACCCUGAUGCAGCGACGCCGCGUGAAGGAAGAAGUUUUUCGGUAUGUAAACUUCUAUCAGCCGGGAAGAAAAUGACGGUACCUGACUCAGAAGCCCCGGCUAACUACGUGCCAGCAUCCGCGGUAAUACGUAGGGGGCAAGCGUUAUCCGGAUUUACUGGGUGUAAAGGGAGCGUAGGCGGCGAUGCAAGUCAGAAGUGAAAGCCCGGGGCUCAACUCCGGGACUGCUUUUGAAACUGUAUGGCUAGAGUGCAGGAGAGGCAAGUGGAAUUCCUAGUGUAGCGGUGAAAUGCGUAGAUAUUAGGAGGAACACCAGUGGCGAAGGCGGCUUGCUGGACUGUAAAUGACGCUGAGGCUCGAAAGCGUGGGGAGCAAACAGGAUUAGAUACCCCAGUAGUC
rnacentral:rRNA from 1 species